UACGUAGGGCGCAAGCGUUGUCCGGAUUUAUUGGGCGUAAAGAGCGUGUAGGCGGUUCGGUAGGUCCGUUGUGAAAACUCGAGGCUCAACCUCGAGACGCCGAUGGAAACCAUCGAACUAGAGUCCGGAAGAGGAGAGUGGAAUUCCUGGUGUAGCGGUGAAAUGCGCAGAUAUCAGGAAGAACACCCGUGGCUAAGGCGGCUCUCUAGUACGGUACUGACGCUGAGACGCGAAAGCGUGGGGAGCAAACAGG
rnacentral:rRNA from 1 species